rnacentral:rRNA from 1 species
UACGUAGGGUCCGAGCGUUGUCCGGAAUUAUUGGGCGUAAAGAGCUCGUAGGCGGUGUGUCGCGUCGGCCGUGAAAACCUGUGGCUUAACUGCGGGCUUGCGGUCGAUACGGGCAUCACUGGAGUUCGGCAGGGGAGACUGGAAUUCCUGGUGUAGCGGUGAAAUGCGCAGAUAUCAGGAGGAACACCGGUGGCGAAGGCGGGUCUCUGGGCCGAUACUGACGCUGAGGAGCGAAAGCGUGGGGAGCGAACAGG